GAUGAACGCUGGCGGCGUGCCUAAUACAUGCAAGUCGAGCGAACGGACGAGAAGCUUGCUUCUCUGAUGUUAGCGGCGGACGGGUGAGUAACACGUGGAUAACCUACCUAUAAGACUGGGAUAACUUCGGGAAACCGGAGCUAAUACCGGAUGAUAUUUUGAACCGCAUGGUUCAAAAGUGAAAGACGGUCUUGCUGUCACUUAUAGAUAGAUCCGCGCUGCAUUAGCUAGUUGGUAAGGUAACGGCUUACCAAGGCAACGAUGCAUAGCCGACCUGAGAGGGUGAUCGGCCACACUGGAACUGAGACACGGUCCAGACUCCUACGGGAGGCAGCAGUAGGGAAUCUUCCGCAAAGGGCGAAAGCCUGACGGAGCAACGCCGCGUGAGUGAUGAAGGUCUUCGGAUCGUAAAACUCUGUUAUUAGGGAAGAACAUAUGUGUAAGUAACUGUGCACAUCUUGACGGUACCUAAUCAGAAAGCCACGGCUAACUACGUG
rnacentral:rRNA from 1 species